rnacentral:rRNA from 1 species
AGAUUAAGUUAUUAAGGGCGCACGGUGGAUGCCUUGGCACUAGAAGCCGAAGAAGGACGUUACUAACGACGAUAUGCUUUGGGGAGCUGUAAGUACGCUUUGAUCCAGAGAUUUCCGAAUGGGGAAACCCAGCAUGAGUUAUGUCAUGUUAUCCGCAUAUGAAUACAUAGUAUGUGAGAAGGCACACCCGGAGAACUGAAACAUCUUAGUACCCGGAGGAAGAGAAAGAAAACUCGAUUCCCUGAGUAGCGGCGAGCGAAACGGGAAGAGCCCAAACCAAUAGGCUUGCCUAUUGGGGUUGUAGGACACUCUAUACGGAGUUACAAAGGAAAUGAUUAGACGAAUGGUUUUGGAAAAGCCAACCAUAGAAGGUAAAGGUCCUGUAGUCGAAAGUCAUUUCUCUCCUGAGUGGAUCCUGAGUACGGCGGAACACGUGAAAUUCCGUCGGAAUCUGGGAGGACCAUCUCCCAAGGCUAAAUACUCUCUAGUGACCGAUAGUGAACCAGUACCGUGAGGGAAAGGUGAAAAGCACCCCGGAAGGGGAGUGAAAUAGAACCUGAAACCGUGUGCUUACAAAUAGUCAGAGCCCGUUAAUGGGUGAUGGCGUGCCUUUUGUAGAAUGAACCGGCGAGUUACGAUUUGAUGCAAGGUUAAGCAGUAAAUGUGGAGCCGUAGCGAAAGCGAGUCUGAAUAGGGCGAAUGAGUAUCUGGUCGUAGACCCGAAACCAAGUGAUCUACCCAUGUCCAGGUUGAAGUUCAGGUAACACUGAAUGGAGGACCGAACCGACUUACGUUGAAAAGUGAGCGGAUGAGGUGUGGGUAGCGGAGAAAUUCCAAUCGAACUUGGAGAUAGCUGGUUCUCUCCGAAAUAGCUUUAGGGCUAGCCUCAAGUGAUGAUUAUUGGAGGUAGAGCACUGUUUGGACGAGGGGCCCCUCUCGGGUUACCGAAUUCAGACAAACUCCGAAUGCCAAAUAAUUUAACUUGGGAGUCAGACUAUGGGUGAUAAGGUCCGUAGUCGAAAGGGAAACAGCCCAGACCACCAGCUAAGGUCCCAAAAUAUAUGUUAAGUGGAAAAGGAUGUGGCGUUGCCCAGACAACUAGGAUGUUGGCUUAGAAGCAGCCAUCAUUUAAAGAGUGCGUAAUAGCUCACUAGUCGAGUGACACUGCGCCGAAAAUGUACCGGGGCUAAACAUAUUACCGAAGCUGUGGAUUAUCCGUAAGGAUAAUGGUAGGAGAGCGUUCUAAACGUGUCGAAGCAUGAUCGUAAGGACAUGUGGAAUGUUUAGAAGUGAGAAUGCCGGUGUGAGUAGCGAAAGAUGGGUGAGAAUCCCAUCCACCGAUUGACUAAGGUUUCCAGAGGAAGGCUCGUCCGCUCUGGGUUAGUCGGGACCUAAGCCGAGGCCGAUAGGCGUAGGCGAUGGAUAACAGGUAGAUAUUCCUGUACCACCUAUGAUUGUUUGAACGAUGGGGGGACGCAGUAGGAUAGGCGAAGCGUGCUGUUGGAGUGCACGUCCAAGCAAUAAGACUGAGUGUUAGGCAAAUCCGGCACUCGUAAGGUUGAGUUGUGAUGGGGAGUUGGAUCAUGUAUCCGACGAGUCGUUGAUUUCACACUGCCAAGAAAAGCCUCUAGUUAGAAAAUAGGUGCCCGUACCGCAAACCGACACAGGUAGUCAAGAUGAGAAUUCUAAGGUGAGCGAGCGAACUCUCGUUAAGGAACUCGGCAAAAUGACCCCGUAACUUCGGGAGAAGGGGUGCUUUUUAGGGUGCAAGCCUUGAAGAGCCGCAGUGAAUAGGCCCAAGCGACUGUUUAUCAAAAACACAGGUCUCUGCUAAACCGUAAGGUGAUGUAUAGGGGCUGACGCCUGCCCGGUGCUGGAAGGUUAAGAGGAGUGGUUAGCUUCUGCGAAGCUACGAAUCGAAGCCCCAGUAAACGGCGGCCGUAACUAUAACGGUCCUAAGGUAGCGAAAUUCCUUGUCGGGUAAGUUCCGACCCGCACGAAAGGCGUAACGAUUUGGGCACUGUCUCAACGAGAGACUCGGUGAAAUCAUAGUACCUGUGAAGAUGCAGGUUACCCGCGACAGGACGGAAAGACCCCGUGGAGCUUUACUGUAGCCUGAUAUUGAAAUUUGGCACAGCUUGUACAGGAUAGGUAGGAGCCUUUGAAACGUGAGCGCUAGCUUACGUGGAGGCGCUGGUGGGAUACUACCCUGGCUGUGUUGACUUUCUAACCCGCACCAUUUGAUCAUGGUGGGAGACAGUGUCAGGCGGGCAGUUUGACUGGGGC